CACAAGAGUGGCAGACGGCUGAGUAACACGUAGGAACGUACCUUUUGGCGGGGAAUAGCUUCGAGAAAUCGGAGGUAAUUCCGCAUAGUCCUUGUCCUUUGGACAAGGAAAUUCUAGGAAAAUUUUAAAUUCGAAACCCGAAAUCCUAAACAAAUCUUAAUUUUUCAAAUUCCAAAUCCCAAACAAAUAAUCUGUUUGGAAUAUUGGAGUUUAGAAUUUUAGAUUUUGUUUAGAUUUUAGAAAUUAGAAUUUAGGAUUUAAAUUCAUAUAGGAUUUCCUCGUCCAGAGGACGAGGUAAAGGAUGUAACUAUCCACCAAAAGAGCGGCCUGCGGCCUAUCAGCUUGUUGGUGGGGUAAUGGCCCACCAAGGCUAAGACGGGUAGGGGAGGUGAGAGCCUGUUCCCCCAGAAUGGAACUGAGAUACGGUCCAUACACCUACGGGUGGCAGCAACCGGGAAUCUUGCGCAAUGGGCGAAAGCCUGACGCAGCGACACCGCGUGGAGGAUGAAGGCCUUCGGGUCGUAAACUCCUCUCUAAUAGUCCAUUGGAUUGUUAGUCAAAAAGCACCGGCUAACUACGUGCCAGCAGCUGCGGUAAUACGUAGGGUGCGAGCGUUGUCCGGAUUUACUGGGCGUAAAGAGUCUGUAGGCGGAUAAGUAGGUUAUUGGUUAAAGGCUCCGGCUCAACUGGAGAAAAGCCGAUAAUACCGCUUAUCUAGUCCUCGAGAGGGGGUGCUGGAACUUACUGUGUAGGGGUGAAAUCCGUUGAUACAGUAAGGAACACCAACGGCGAAGGCGGGCACCUGGAUCGAUGGAGACGCUGAGAGACGAAAGCUAGGGUAGCAAAUCGGAUUAGAGACCCGAGUAGUCCUAGCCCUAAAUGAUCCCUGCUAGAUGGUCGAUUUUGAUUCGUUCGGAUUGACUGUCGAAGGUAACCC
rnacentral:rRNA from 1 species